GACGAACGCUGGCGGCGUGCCUAACACAUGCAAGUCGAACGGAAAGGCCCGGAGUUUGUGCGGUGCGGGAGAGGCGAACGCGGGAGAGUCACGUGUGUAACCUGCGCUUGACUGUGGGGGAACAUCAGGAAACUGGAGCUAAUAUAGGACAGGAGAUCCGGUGGCACGGGGGGGGUAGGAAAGUUUCGGCGUUUGGGGAUGGACUCGCGGAUUAUCGGCUUGUUGGUGGGGUGGUGGCUUACCAAGGCUUUGGCGGGUCGCCAGCCUGCGAGGGUGACCGGCCCCAUUGGGCCUGAGGUACGGCCCAGAGUCCUACGUGAGGCAGCGGGGGGAAACAUUGCACACUGGGCGGAAGCCUGAUGCAGCAACGCCGCGUCCGGGAUGUCGGCCUUCGGGUUAUAACCCGCUUUCGCCUGUGACGAAGCGUCUGUGACGGUAAUGUGUCAAGAAGCACCGGCUAACUACGUG
rnacentral:rRNA from 1 species